rnacentral:rRNA from 1 species
GACGAACGCUGGCGGCGUGCUUAACACAUGCAAGUCGAACGAAGAGCGAUGGAAGCUUGCUUCUAUCAAUCUUAGUGGCGAACGGGUGAGUAACGCGUAAUCAACCUGCCCUUCAGAGGGGGACAACAGUUGGAAACGACUGCUAAUACCGCAUACGAUCUAACCUCGGCAUCGAGGAUAGAUGAAAGGUGGCCUCUACAUGUAAGCUAUCACUGAAGGAGGGGAUUGCGGCUGAUUAGCUAGUUGGAGGGGUAACGGCCCACCAAGGCGAUGAUCAGUAGCCGGUCUGAGAGGAUGAACGGCCACAUUGGGACUGAGACACGGCCCAGACUCCUACGGGAGGCAGCAGUGGGGAAUCUUCCGCAAUGGACGAAAGUCUGACGGAGCAACGCCGCGUGAGUGAUGACGGCCGUCGGGUUGUAAAGCUCUGUUAAUCGGGACGAAAGGCCUUCUUGCGAAUAGGGAGAAGGAUUGACGGUACCGGAAUAGAAAGCCACGGCUAACUACGUG